GCCUUCUCCUCCACCCCAAUGAAGUUAAGCGCUCGGUGCGGAGAUUAAAAAAAAAAAAAAAAAAAAAAAAGCAGCCGCGAGCGCCUGCGCACUGCGGAGACCCCUUACGGCCAACGAGCCGGCUGUACCAUAGAGAGUGUAAACCGGGACCAGAGAGGCGGCUCCCUCUCUAUGGUAAGGCCCCGCGCAGGCGCCGGCCGGGCCGACCUGCGCUUCGGGAGAUACAAAUCCCGGGAGCUUUCACCUCCUGGCAAACGUCAGAUGACCCUGAUGGGGACCCGUAGGGUAAAGGUUAUUUCAGACAAGGGUGGCCAAGGUUCAGUAGAGCCUCCUGGGGAGUUGCGGCAAAACUCCGGCUGGGCAAGGAGGAUCGGAUCUAAGCCGCCACGGCAGUAGGGCACCAGAAAGCCGGGAGUGUGCUGAGUAGAACUAUGGUGGAACCAGGAAAGCCUGGGUAAAAGUCUGGCCGGAAACUCCUCCGGUCCGGGCUCUAAUACCGGAAGGAUACGGACUUCCACUUCCGGGUUACUCGUGUCCCGCCCCAUCGAGCGAUUUGAAUGAAGGAAAUUGUGUCCUGUGGCUUACCGUCCCUGGGCUGGCCUCCGUUCUCCUGUCCCUGUUUCCAGUAGGAGCGGACGCUUCGGCCGGAAACACAGAUUUUUAACGGUUUUUUGCCUGUUUUGAAGCGGAGCGGGCCGGUGUAGGCCUUGGAGGUCCUUCAGACGGUCGGCUCGAGACUGUUUCUUCCUUGAGGGUCUCCAUAAAAAGCGCUGCUUCCGUCCUCCCGCUCGCUUUCCUCUCGGAUGCUGCGAGGGGAAGGGUUUCCGAGGGUAGAAAACGGUGCGAGUGACGGGGCCGCCUUAAAGGAUGCUGAAGGACCACAGUUGCCGCAUCAGGCCCGUGCGCUCGCGGGAAUUUGCCGUGGAAAGCUUUUGUGUGAGAUUAUUCGCGGCCUCGGGGAGACCGCUCUUCCUCCAUCUCGACGUGCGGACCAUCGAGUUGUCCCUGGAGCCCCUGUGCGCCGAGCUCCGUGCUGCUGGCGUGCAUGUGUGUUGGGCGCGGGAUGCGGGAAGAGAACUGACAUGCUGCCCCUGAUGCUCGCGCGUAGAAGAGAUAGUUGGAGAGACUCAGCCACCGCAUUAAACACAGAGCCGGUGUAGGCCCCUCUCUGGUGCAGGAAAGGGAGAGGAGCGUGGUCUCAAAGAGGAGGGACGACCUGGAGGCUGUGACUCCUGGUUUGAUCUGGAAAAGAUAACCGAUCUUUCGGGCGAAAGCACAAGCAACUUUUUGGAAAUGGAUGAAGUCCCGGGACAUCGUUCAAAGCAACGAUCUCCGCUUGGCAGAUGAGGAGAUUGAGGGCCAGAAAGGAAAAUGAUGUGCCAGCCAUGGCUGAUUGGUACCAAGGCUGCAGCUGAAACCUGAACCUCCAGAAUUCCCACUCUGUGCUUUGGGCUCCCUUACGAAGAUAGACGCCACAGUCUGAAUUUAUCCUAUGGAUAAACAGGAUGGCUCCAGUGAAUUUAUCUUAACUACUCUAUGGUAUUGCACCGUAGGAAUGUUUUAGCAUUUAUCUAAUCUCCUAUUGAUGGCCAUCUGCAUCAACGAGACUAAAAUACUUCGAAAUAGAUUUAACAAAAGAAGUAGAAGACUUGCGCACUGCACGUUGUUGAAAGAAGUUAAGGAAGACCUAAGUAGAUGGACUGGAAGACUUGCUGUUGUCUGACCUACUACUCUCCAAGCUGAUCCACAGAUUCAGUGCAAUCCCCAUCAAAAUUUCAGGUGUCGUCUUUGUAGAAACUGACAAACUGCUUCUAACAUUCUUAUGGAAAGGCAGAGGACCAAGAAAAGCCAAAACCAUCUUGGAAAAAAAGAACAAAGGUGGAGGACUCACAUUCCUGAUUUCAAAACUCACUACAAAGCUACAAUAAUCAAAGCAAGGUGGUGCUGGCCUAAGGACAGACGUAUAGACCAAUGGAAUAGAAUUGAGAGUCAAAAAACAAACCCAAACAUCUAUGCUCAAUUGAUUUUCAACAAGGUGCCAAGAUAAUUCAGUGAGGAAAUAGAACAAAUGGUGCUGGGACAAUUGGGUAGCUACGUAUAAAAGAAUGAAGUUGGAUCCCUACUUUACACCAUACAUAAAAAAUUGGUAUAAACCUAAAACUGCUCUAAAAAAUAAAUUCAAUUUAAAUUUUAAAAAAAGACUCAAAAAAGAUCAAAGACCUAAAUAAAAUCAAAUCUAAAUAAAAGUCUACAAAAUAAACAUGGGAAUAAAUCUUCAUGCCCUUGUCCUUGGAUUAGGCAAUGGUUUAGAUAUGACACAAAAAACAGGCAACAAAAGAAAAAACAAUAAACUGAAUUACAUCAAAAUUUAAAACUAUUGUGCUUCAUAGGAGACUAUUAAGAAAGAAAAAAAGACAAUCGAAGCAAUGGGAGAGAAUUUUUUUUGCAAAUCAUGUAUCUAAUAAGGGUCUAGUAUCCAGAAUAUGUAAAGAACUCUUACAACUCAAUAAUAAAAAGACAUGUAACCUAAUUUAAAAAUGGGCAGAGGAUAUGAAGAGACAGUUCUCCAAAGAAAAUAUACAAAUGGCCAAUGAGCCCAUGAGAAGAUGAUCAACAUCCUGGGUCAUUAGGGAAAUUCAAAUCAAAACUACAUUGAGACACCACGCCCACCCACUGGAAUGACCAUAAUUUGAAAAUCAAAAAAGCCAACAGAAAAUACCAAGUAUUGGUGAGGAUGUGGACGAGUUGGAACCCUCAUCCAAUGCUCCUGGGUAUGUAAAACGCUGUAGCUGCUUUGGAAAACAGUGUGGUACUUUCUCAAAAAGUUAAGCAUAGAGUUAGUAUAUGAUGCAGCAAUUCCACUCUGAGGCAUAUCCCCAAGAGAAUUUAAAGCAUACAUCUACACAAAACCUGGCACAGUCAGGUUCACAGGAGCAUUAUUCAUAAUAGCCAAGAAGAGGAAGCAAUCCGAAUGUCCCUCAGCUAAUGAAUGGACAAAUAAAAUGUGAUCCAGCCAAGGAAUGCUGGAUAAUAAUGUAUAUUAUUAUAUAUUGGAAUAAUUAUAUGUUGCAAUCCAAUAAUUAUAUAUUGGAAUGAUGGAAUUAUUCAGCCGUGAAUAAUAGACCUUGAAAAUAUCCUAAGUGAAAGUAGGCAGAAAUGAAAGGCCACAAAUAGUAUAUGUAUUGUCCAUUUAUAUGUAAUGUCCCAGAUAGGCAAAUGCAGAGAGAAAGUAGAUUAGCGGUUGCCUAAGGCUGGGGUAGGGGGAGGGUUGGGGGGUGAGGAGGCAUUGAGGAGUGGCUGCUAAUGGGUACUGGGUUCCUUUUUGGGGUGAUGAAAAUGUUCUCGCAUUAGAUAGUGGUGUUGGUUGCACAACCUUGUGAAUAUACUAAAAAAUACUGAAUUGUACACUUUAAAAUGGAGAGUUUUUAUGAAGUGUGAAUUAUAUCUCAAUAAAGAAAUGAAUCACCUCAAAAAAGCAAAAGACAUUUGCGUUUCUUCACCCUCUGUUUUCCUUCUCCAGCACCCGAGGAGCGACAACCUGGAAGUGGGACCAGCGGGAGGGAGUCAGUCAGCAGACCCCGCCUCACACGAGGUCCCCGCUGCCCGUCCUAAAUACUUCUUAUUAAAUACCUGGUUACUUGCUAACACAAUAUGGGCUGAACUUUGGGAGCCCACCUGCAUCACCGUCUCACUAAGGGACUGGUCCAAUGAGAUGGAACAACCUAUGCUCCUCACCAACAGGAUAACCCCUCAAGAUUGAAGAUGAACAACAAAAGGGGGGAUUGAUACGGGUUAACACAAGGUUAACAUAAGGGAAGCCAUAUUGUAAAGAAGAAACCAUAUUGUAACUUUGAAUGACCUCUGAUUAACUAACCCAGACAUGCUCUGUAGAUUUUAUGGACCCUGUCAGCUGCUAUAAUUUGAUAAGUUUGUUCUUUUGAGUUCCUUAGGAAUGUGAUGACCCCCAGGUAGAGAGUCUGUGCUGAUGGCCAUCAUCAUUGACAACUGAAAGAUCAGGGUAUAGGCCAUUGCUCUGGUCUCUGAUGCAUCUCCAGUAAAACAAAAGACUAUCAGAAACUGAGACCAGAUGUCUUCCCCACCUGGAGAACAGAUGGAGGCCCCACUGGGAUUAGGUCUAUUUUUCAGGGACUGUUAAAAUUUGGGUUGUCUAUACUUCUUGUCCUUCUGAUAAGCCAGGAACAUGAGAAUAUUUCCAAAUGAGUGCUAAAAAUGUCAUUCCUUUAACCCAGAUCUAUGCCCCAAUUGAGCAGGAAGUAGCUAGAUCGGUCAUCGCCCCAAAUCCCUCAAGAAUGAGAAGUGACCAAACAAUAGGGGGGAUUGAAACCAGCAAACAGCCAUUGAUGAUUAAGUAUCUAGGUACUAAAGUUUUUUCCUCUUUGCAGUUACUGAUUAUAGCUUUUAGCUGUUGAACCCAGCCAUUGGUAACUGUGCUGUUUAGGCAAUCUGCUACCUGACUCCCACCAGGGUCCUAUAGAUAACAUCUCCCUGGAGCCUGGGUCACCAUGGUAAUGGGGUGUGUGAGCUGUUUUUCAGGAAUUAGAACUCCUUGUCCACUUCAGGCCAGUUGAGGCCACCAACCUCUCAACGGGGCUCAAGCAGAUGUCUGAUAGGCAACCUUUCGACAUCAAGAGGCUAAAAACUCCACCCUCUGAUCAUGCUAAUACCGCCAUUUUGUGAACAUGGGUCCUAUGAAG
rnacentral:lncRNA from 1 species